CUUCCUAAAGUGCUGGGAUCACAGGAGUGAGCCGCCGCGCCCGGCCUCUACCAUUCUUAUAAGGGGAGACGUGGGAGUGUUGGCUUGAAUGUGUUCACGUGCUCGCUUUCUCUCUCUCUCUCUCUCUCUCUCUCUCUCUUUCUCUCUCUCACUCUCUGUCCUCCCCGCCACCCCUUAGACAAACACAUAUACACACAAAAGAAGUCAUGUGAGCACAUAGUCAGAAGGUGAGAAGUUGGCCAUCCACAAGCCAGGAAGAAUCCUUUCACCAGAAACUGAAUUUAUCAGCAUCUUGAUCUUGGACUCUCCAGUUUCCAGAACUAUAAAUUCGAUGCUUCUCAGGUCCCCAGUCAAGAUUGCAUCUCAGAUGAUGGCCAGGCUGGCCUUGUGACUCACUGGGACUAAUAAAAGGUGGCAGAAUUGACGGUGUGCCAGUUCUGAGUCAAGCCUGUAGAAGCUUUGAACCCUUAUGCUUGCUGUCCUGUAAUCCUGCCUCUACAAUGAGAACAAGACUGUACUGUGCUAUCUUGAGUGAGAAGCACUCAAGAUCAUGUGGAACUGAGACUGAGAUGCUACUAGACUAGCCAGCUUUCAGCACAUCCUCCAUUUGACUGCAGAUAUGUGAGUGAGCCCAGCUGAAUCAUGGCAAAAUGUGCCUAGACCAGUAGAGAGAGCAAGACUCUCUCUAGACUUUGGUAAAAUAAGAAAUGCAGCUGGGCGCGAUGGCUCACGCCUGUAAUCCCAGCACUUUGGGAGGCUGAGGCGGGCGGAUCAUGAGGUCAGGAA